UACGUAGGGGGCGAGCGUUGUCCGGAAUCAUUGGGCGUAAAGCGCGUGUAGGCGGUCCGGUAAGUCCGCUGUGAAAGUCGGGGGCUCAACCCUCGGAUGCCGGUGGAUACUGUCGGGCUUGAGUACGGAAGAGGCGAGUGGAAUUCCUGGUGUAGCGGUGAAAUGCGCAGAUAUCAGGAGGAACACCAAUUGCGAAGGCAGCUCGUUGGGACGUUACUGACGCUGAGACGCGAAAGCGUGGGGAGCAAACAGG
rnacentral:rRNA from 1 species